GUGUAAGCUCAUAUUGUCCAGUCACGUAAAAUCGAAAAGCCCCAAAAUAGGAGUGAAAGCAAAAUGUACGUGCAAUACCGGCAGAUGUAUCUGUGAACAGUAGGUGCAUACAGGUGAUCAGAAGGAACUAGAGGAAAGCUUCUGCGCGUACAAUUGAUUUUCUUUUUUCAAAAAGCUGGGACCUUGCUUUAAAUGUUAUGACGCCCUUAUUAACGUUAGAUAUGGAGCCGUCCUUGACCACGCCGAAACCGUUCGCAGACGUGGUACCCGACGUUUUUUUUUUUUUUUUUUUAAACAUUGGCUGCUCAGCUGGGAAGUAGCGGCUUGCGUAUAAUACAGAGAAAUCAUGCAAACUAUUGGCUCUUCAUAAUGACCGAGCGAACGAUAAGUCGCGACAUCUGGAAUGGGCUGAAAACUGUACUGUCAAGCUUUAAGUAUUGCGCGCGUUGAAGGACACCGAAUAUUGUACGGCCUCCGAGAUGAAUCAAACUUGUCCCAGCUGUAUAAACACGCGUGGCCUAAUACUGUAAAAUAAUGAACAAAAUGUCCAACUUCUGGCGACGCAUAAAAGCCGGCGCGCAGCUCAAAAAAGCAGCAGAGAUGCUAGUGUUGGGAAUAUUCCUGAUGCUUGCCUCAGUCCGCGCAAUCUCCUUCGAAGAUGCGGUUGGGUCAUACUGCUAUGCGGACGAACCCUCGAUGCACGAAUUCGUCGUCUGCGUCAUAAACAAUUUCCCUCCGAAGGUAGGUCAGAAAGUCCAGGAACUCAUGGAUUUGUUCUCGGGAAUGACAUUUUUCGAAGCUGUACAGCUUAUGUGUAAGGCAUCGAUGGAUUCUUCUGCGGCAAUGUUUGAUGACUUUAUCACCAUGAAUGUAGAAGACCAGGAGGAACUUGACAAGACUAAAGACAAAUUAUUGGAGUGUCAUGUGAGAGUUUUCAAAGAAUAGAUGGUGUGUGGUGCUGCCUACGUGUGCGGUAACCAUCACUGCGACAAGCACUGUUGUCAUGUGCAUUUCAGUACAAGAAAUAUGAAACGUGAAAGAGAUGGCGCACUGCUCACUACAGAAAAAUGUGUUGUCGUCGAACGUCACCAUAAUCAGCAGGCUGGCACGUGAAAUGAGAUAAACUGAAACCAUCGCAAAAUUUUGGAGAGAUGUGUGUAAGAAGAUCUACUAUGCCAUCGACUAGUAGAAGAUUGCUUCUUCGUCGGGUCAGCUGACACAUUUGAAACGAGCUGUGUCAUGGUUUGUUGCUUUUUACAUCAAGUGUAAAAGCUUUGACAGGUAUCAUGAAAUAAACCAGUUGAAAGUUUA